rnacentral:lncRNA from 1 species
CUCUGUCCAGGCUCCGAAUCCGCGGCGACGACGAGCGGCCGAGGGAAAUGGUCGCGAAUUCGCUCUGCCUCAGAAGGGCGUCGCAUAAUACACUCCUGCACAAGAUCCGGUACCUUCAGUCACGGCGUUUUGGUAGCGUUUAUCACCCCCAGGUAUGCGGUAUGACUGUCACAAUGCGUUGUUAGUUAGUCCCGGCAAAUAACUAUAUGAAUAUAUUGUACAUAUAACUCUACAGACCGUGGGCUUUCGUUGGCGCUGGCUGCCAUGUUUCGCUGAGAUAAAGGGAAAUAGGUAGGUAAACACAGACGUUUGUCGAAGAAAGUCACGUAACGAUUUCGCUUAUUACAGGUCAAAGGUCGUAGGUACAGGAACAUUGCCUGACUUUCUUCCAUAAGGAUUUGGUUUACACUAUAACGUUUCCGCCACCGCCUUGCCCACGGCUCUGUCUUCAUCACUCACUGUUUUAUGAGGUGCCAUGCAAGCUGUUGGUCGUGCUGACUUGCGUAAGGCGUAGAUUGGCAUUCAUUUGGGAAGAGAAGAUUUUUUCGUCAUUCCAAGGUGAAAAUAAUGUGAUGUUAAAACAUCUGAUAAAAUAAUGAAGGUAAUGACAGCUAUGGCCAAUGAAAAGUGAUGACGAUGGUAAUGACAUCAACAAAAAUUAUGGUAAUAAUACUGAUACGAAUAAUUAUAUUAUUAUUAUUUCUGACUGCUUCUACCGCCACUAUUGUAACUAAUGAUAAUGAUAAUGAUGACAUAAAAGAUGAUAAUGAUACAUUUUUCUAUGUGAUGAAAAUAAUGAUAACGAUUCUAAUCACACUGAUAAAAGUCCAUAAAUAUAAUUGAAACGUUACCACUUCGCAAGAUGACAUUGGCAACAAUCACUCAACUGUCAGCAUUACCAACAACGCAAGCUAUGGUAAAGACCCUUUUUUAUUAUAACUUGUAUGUGGAUUACUAUGAUUACAUUAUGACCAUUUCAUUGGCAUAAUAUGUCAUUAUGAUAUGUUGUUGCCAUAAUAUAUUCUAUUGUGUUGAAAAGGAUACGUGCAUAAUAUUAUCUGCCGUUGUAGCCACCUUUCAAAUCUUUCUUGAAAAUGUGUAAAGGUUAUAUGUAUCUCUUCGUUUGUCUGUUUGAAUAUCGUUUGUGUUAUCGUUUUUACUGAUGAUGAAACCUAUACGUUCUUAGUAUAGUAAGUUAUAUCUCCAUUCCUUGGUUGUUAUUUUUUAAAAGAAUGUUUAUUGCAGUCAGUAGAUUAUAUUGUUAAUGCGUUUUCUCGCUCGUGUUAUGCAUGUAAGUUAUUGUCUGUAUCAAGAGCUUCUUUUAUUUAUACAUCUGAUUUAUGUCGUAAAAUAUAGUAAAUGAUACCUAAUAAGGUUUGAUUUUCUUUUUUUCUAUUUAUUCUUCUUCUUGUUCCGAUUUUUAUUUUUUGUAUACAUGAAUUUCCUUCUUGCUCGAGUGUAUUUCUUGUAACCGAGAGUUGAAUUCCGCUAUGUCAUUUCACAGUUUAUUUAUUCUAAUUUGUUUGUUUUGUUCUGAAUAUUAUUUAUCCCAUUACCUCUUUAUGGCUGGUACCAUAAGGCAUAUCUUAUUUCACUUCAUUUCACCUUAGCAGUAGAUUCAUGUAACCCUUCCAGCACUUUUCACCAUUCACUCUCUCUCUUUUGCUGGUAGUAAAAAGUUCAUUAUUUUCUCUCGGUUUUCCUGAACUGUUGGCAUGUCCGUCUUCUGUUUUCAAUUCUGUUUUAAGAAUUUGAUGGAGUUUUUAUAUGUAUAUAUCUAUUUUGUUGUUGUUUAUUUUAUUCAUCCUGUUUUAUGUAGUAACGAGUAUUUAGUAAACCAUGAAAUCAUUUAGGGGCUAGGCAUUUUUUGGUUUUUGUUUUGGUAUCGUACUGACUAAAUUCUUCAGCCGCAUUGAAUCAGUUAUUCAUUGUGAUAAGAAAUCUGAUAGUUUUUAAUAAUGUAAAAAAAAAGAAAAAAAAUGGAAGCCUUUAUAAUGAAUUUAAUGUCAUUCACCCAAUAUUACUUGCCGAGCACAAAUAUAUCGUGUAUAUGUAAACCAACCAAACUGUAAAAUAACCGUAUAGAUUAAACAGGAAAAAUGAAAA